rnacentral:snoRNA from 1 species
GUUCAUUUAUUCUCAUGGCUUUAAAAAUUACCUUUGGCCCAGUAUGCAACAGCUACAAAUAGCAGCCUCCUUGGUAGUACACAAAGCCCGUGCCUUAUAUGGGCUGCCCUAAGGAACUUUGGAGAUGGCU